ACACCGAGUGCUCACACCACACCACUGCCUGUCCGUGAAUCCCUCCUCCAUCCUAGAGUUAAGCCCUUUUCCCAUUCCUUCCCCUCUUUCCACCUCUCUUUCCUUUUUUCUUUGCUUGUUCCCUUCCCACUCCUGUCCCCUAGGCCUUUUCUGUGGCUUCAGAGCCAUUGCGGUGUUAUUAUUUCUGUGUCUUGCAUCCUUAAGGAGCUUACUCAGAACUGAAAAUGAGGAUAUUUAAUAAUUUGGAAAAAAUUCAGGGAAGAUAUGGAUAAGAAAGAUCAAGUUAACAGGAUUGGAUUGAGAGACGUGAUCCCAUUGUAGAGUACAGUAUUUCCUCUUUAGAUUCUUAAGUAACUGUUCUUUGUGUGCUGUUUGUGAAUCAUGACAUGGAAAAGGAAUGGCGGCAUUGGUUUUGUUACUGUUGUGGUUUUAGAAAGUGGAAAAGAAAGGCAUGAUUUUUUCUUCCUGAAGAAAGAAUGAUGAAAUGAACUAAUUGUUAAAUAUACAAUGUAUAUAGAGAUGUGGGAAUCAAGAUAAAAUAAAGAAAAAUAAGAUACAAAAGCAAAAAACAUAAACAAAAAACAGAAGUGAGACAAAAGUGUACAUAGAAUGACAACAGACAGAUUAAGAAGGCAAAAAAUAUAAUAAUUAUAACAAAGAUAAAAAAAAAAAA